GACGAACGCUGGCGGCGUGCUUAACACAUGCAAGUCGAGCGGUAAGGCCCUUUCGGGGGUACACGAGCGGCGAACGGGUGAGUAACACGUGGGUGACCUGCCCUCAGCUCUGGGAUAAGCCUGGGAAACCGGGUCUAAUACCGGAUAUGACUCCAUGACGCAUGUUGUGGGGUGGAAAGCCUUGUGCGGCUGAGGAUGGGCCCGCGGCCUAUCAGCUUGUUGGUGGGGUGAUGGCCUACCAAGGCGACGACGGGUAGCCGGCCUGAGAGGGCGACCGGCCACACUGGGACUGAGACACGGCCCAGACUCCUACGGGAGGCAGCAGUGGGGAAUCUUGCGCAAUGGGCGAAAGCCUGACGCAGCGACGCCGCGUGAGGGAUGACGGCCGU
rnacentral:rRNA from 1 species